CAGGCUUAACACAUGCAAGUCGAGGGGCAUCAGGAAGAAAGCUUGCUUUCUUUGCUGGCGACCGGCGCACGGGUGAGUAACACGUAUCCAACCUGCCCUUUACUUGGGGAUAGCCUUUCGAAAGAAAGAUUAAUACCCGAUGGCAUAAUGAUUCCGCAUGGUUUCAUUAUUAAAGGAUUCCGGUAAAGGAUGGGGAUGCGUUCCAUUAGGUUGUUGGUGAGGUAACGGCUCACCAAGCCUUCGAUGGAUAGGGGUUCUGAGAGGAAGGUCCCCCACAUUGGAACUGAGACACGGUCCAAACUCCUACGGGAGGCAGCAGUGAGGAAUAUUGGUCAAUGGGCGCUAGCCUGAACCAGCCAAGUAGCGUGAAGGAUGAAGGCUCUAUGGGUCGUAAACUUCUUUUAUAUAAGAAUAAAGUGCAGUAUGUAUACUGUUUUGUAUGUAUUAUAUGAAUAAGGAUCGGCUAACUCCGUGCCAGCAGCCGCGGUAAUACGGAGGAUCCGAGCGUUAUCCGGAUUUAUUGGGUUUAAAGGGAGCGUAGGUGGACUGGUAAGUCAGUUGUGAAAGUUUGCGGCUCAACCGUAAAAUUGCAGUUGAUACUGUCAGUCUUGAGUACAGUAGAGGUGGGCGGAAUUCGUGGUGUAGCGGUGAAAUGCUUAGAUAUCACGAAGAACUCCGAUUGCGAAGGCAGCUCACUGGACUGCAACUGACACUGAUGCUCGAAAGUGUGGGUAUCAAACAGGAUUAGAUACCCUGGUAGUCCACACAGUAAACGAUGAAUACUCGCUGUUUGCGAUAUACAGUAAGCGGCCAAGCGAAAGCAUUAAGUAUUCCACCUGGGGAGUACGCCGGCAACGGUGAAACUCAAAGGAAUUGACGGGGGCCCGCACAAGCGGAGGAACAUGUGGUUUAAUUCGAUGAUACGCGAGGAGCCUUACCCGGGCUUAAAUUGCAGUGGAAUGAUGUGGAAACAUGUCAGUGAGCAAUCACCGCUGUGAAGGUGCCGCAUGGUUGUCGUCAGCUCGUGCCGUGAGGUGUCGGCUUAAGUGCCAUAACGAGCGCAACCCUUAUCUUUAGUUACUAACAGGUUAUGCUGAGGACUCUAGAGAGACUGCCGUCGUAAGAUGUGAGGAAGGUGGGGAUGACGUCAAAUCAGCACGGCCCUUACGUCCGGGGCUACACACGUGUUACAAUGGGGGGUACAGAAGGCAGCUAGCGGGUGACCGUAUGCUAAUCCCAAAAGCCUCUCUCAGUUCGGAUCGAAGUCUGCAACCCGACUUCGUGAAGCUGGAUUCGCUAGUAAUCGCGCAUCAGCCACGGCGCGGUGAAUACGUUCCCGGGCCUUGUACACACCGCCCGUCAAGCCAUGGGAGCCGGGGGUACCUGAAGUACGUAACCGCAAGGAUCGUCCUAGGGUAAAACUGGUGACUG
rnacentral:rRNA from 1 species